AUGACGGCCUCCUUGAGUAUUGUGUUUUCUGUAGUUUCCUAUAAGGACAUAUCUUACUAUGGUCCUCCUGAGUACCAGUGCCCUCACUGCAAGGCUUCUUUUUGGUUUGAGGAGAGGGCCAAUCCAUAUUCUUCAUGGGUGCUACGUAAAAUUGUUUAUAACCUUUGUUGCAAAGGUGGAAAAGUCAUUGUUAAACCUUUCAGAAACCCUCCUGCUUUAUUGAGUCGUUUAUUAUCCUGUCAUGGUGACCGUGUUUCCAAGCAAUUCCUGACAAAGAUACGGCAUCACAGUUGGACGUUUGCAUUUACGUCUAUUGUGGCGACGUCAUUCGUUCGCUGGAAGGCACGCGGGGGUUAA
rnacentral:rRNA from 1 species